UUUCUUUUGGUGGGUAACCACAAGAUUCCUUACCAGCAGUAUGACUGUUUUUUCCCCAGUAUUUGUAGGAGGCCACCAGAGAGACAGGAUUGCAAGGUUUUAAAUAUGCUAGUGUCAUGAGGUCAUGGAUUUCCUACCUGAAACAGAUAGUGUGACUGCCCUGCUAUAGCCAUGUUUGGCCAGUGUAGGAAUUUUGAGAACAGUGAACACUUAAUACUCAGAUGGCAUUUUGCCACCCCGACAAGGACCAUACCUGCCAUUCCAUUGUAGUUCGCCUUGCCCAGAAGUUUUAAAAUUUUUCUUUCAGCCUGGGAUUUCAAGUGUACUACAGCAUCCUCUUCACCUAUACAAGCGUCUGUUGUUUUAAAAGGAAACUGAUAUAAUUUGAGCAAAUAAUUUGAAGAUGGGUAAAUAGAAGUUUGACUGAAGCUGAUGAAAGUAAGCACAUUGAUUAAUAUUCUUAUCAUUUUUAUAAACUGCAUUACAGAAAUACAUAAUUUCUGUAAAAUAAAAUGUAAAAACAGGCAUGGAAGUCAGGGCAAAGGCAUAUGACUAGAGAAAAGUAAAAUGAAACCAAAUGUGAGGUGACACCUGGAAGGCAGCCUGUUCCUUUAACACACACAAGCACUCAUUCAGGCUAAACAGUGUACACACUCAUUUCCAGGUGGGCCACACUAUUUAGUUCUAUAUUUUUAGUAGCCCAUGAAAUGAGGGGAAAGUGGGUUGGGGGAAAUGGGCUAAAUGUAUAGAGUUGAAAUUAAGUAUGCUUGUGUAAUGGCUCUAUUGUUCUCUAAAGUGAGCUGUUCAAAGAACAAAAU
rnacentral:lncRNA from 1 species